AAACAUACGUUGAAGGGAAAUAGUAACAAUUGUUCCUACUAGCAGAGAGUCGAUGGUUGGUGCAAAUCGAUGUAGCACUUUUGUGAAUCCGUCCUGGAGUAGAUUACUGAACGAAGAGAAAAAUCUUCUAUUAGGUAGUUCCGGUUUAUCUGCCGUUAUUAGAUGCUAAGAGGAAUAGUGAUACGUUGCUAUUCAAUUAGGGUGGCAACGCGGGUUAAGUCUCGUCCCUUUC
rnacentral:ncRNA from 1 species